CAAAAUUUAAUCAUUAUCACGUUAGAAACAAGUUGUAGCACUAAAAAUAAGUCAACAGAGAAAGUCAAAACAAAUACUAUAAAAUUUGUACAUGGUUCCUCCCCCCCUCUCUUAACAUACUUUUACUUUUUAAAGAUGAUCAUCUUUUGUCUUCCACCACCACCACCAUCAUCAUCAUCAUCAAGCUGACCAACUUAAAUACUCCUACAGGAUCCCUCACUCCCCACCUUCUUCCCCACAACACAACCCAUACUUCACACACUCACAUACACACACACACUAAUGCAGAAGAAUCCCAUGUCUCAACAACACAAAAAACAAAGUCAAUCUUUCAUCUUCACCAAGAUGUGAUUUAAGUGGAAGAUUAAGGUAUGAGAAGGGCAAAAACGUAAAAUGGUUAAUGUACUUACACUUUCUGAAAAUUGUGGGCUUGGAAUCCCUGCAGCCAUUGAUCUAAACAAUGGAGUUACUUGAAGUGGAGAAUUGAAUUCUGAAUUUGGCAAUGCAACAUCAUUGUUGAAUUCAUCACAAGAUUGUAAAAUAUCUGUAAUUCAAACAAAUAUAUAUAUUUGUUAUUAUUAUCAA